rnacentral:rRNA from 1 species
AGCUCCACGAGUGUAUAUUUAUGUUGUUGCGGUUAAAAAGUUCGUAGUCGAAGCUUUGUUGCGUCGGGCGGCCGUGUCGAAAAACUCGAUGCGCCGCGCGCGCUUCACGUCGGGCGGAGCAGGAUGCCGCGGGAUUAACUUUUCGUGGUAGCCAACCGUCCAUAGCCCCGUGAAUAACUCAGAGCGUUCAAAGCAGGCCUUAGGGCCGUUGAAUGUCAAAGCAUGGGACGCUGGAAAAGGACUGAAUUCCUUUUGCUGGUUCAAGCGAAUUUAGUAAUGAUUAAUGGAAACGAUCGGGGGCGUGAGUAUUUGGGGGUGAGAGGUGAAAUUCUAUGAUCCCUUGAAGACUAUCAACUGCGGAGGCAUUCGCCCAGGGCGUGUUCGUCA